AUUGAACGCUGGUGGCAGGCUUAACACAUGCAAGUCGAACGGUAACAGGAAUUAGCUUGCUAAUUUGCUGACGCGUGGCGGACGGGUGAGUAAUGCUUGGGAAUCUGGCUUAUGGAGGGGGAUAACUACGGGAAACUGUAGCUAAUACCGCGUAAAAUCUUCGGAUUAAAGGGUGGGACUUUCGAGCCACCUGCCAUAAGAUGAGCCCAAGUGGGAUUAGGUAGUUGGUUAGGUAAAGGCUGACCAAGCCGACGAUCUCUAGCUGGUCUGAGAGGAUGACCAGCCACACUGGAACUGAGACACGGUCCAGACUCCUACGGGAGGCAGCAGUGGGGAAUAUUGCACAAUGGGGGGAACCCUGAUGCAGCCAUGCCGCGUGAAUGAAGAAGGCCUUCGGGUUGUAAAGUUCUUUCGGUGACGAGGAAGGUUGAUAGGUUAAUAGCCUAUCAAAUUGACGUUAAUCACAGAAGAAGCACCGGCUAACUCCGUG
rnacentral:rRNA from 1 species